CUGGUGGGGGAGGAUAAUUUGUUUUUUCUAUUUUAUUUCUCUCAUUUUAAGAAAUUUGAUUUAAAAAAAAUGUUUUUCAAAAAUUUUAUCCAAUUAAAUAUAAAAAAACAAAAGCACAUUUUUCAAAAAAUAUUUUCCUCCCUACCAAGCACACCCUUAAAUUAGAUUUGGUUCCCUGGUAUACUUUACGACCUGCAUUAUGAUGAUGCAUGGCUACGGACUUUUUUUCUUCUUAAAUAGACAUGCAUUAAAUAACAACAAAAACCAUAAAGCAGUUUACAACAUCCCUGCUGGAUCAGUCAGGGUUAAGUAUUGAGAAUCAUUAUCUGCCUAGAUUGUCUUUGUCGCACGCACCGGUGGAACUUCAAAAAUCCUAAUUUCUUCAAAAUCCAUUGAGUUUACACCUUUCUUUGCCAUAUGAGAUCCGCUAUCCCAUUCUAUUCCCUAUAGCAUUGCGUUACGUCUGGAUUUUCUAAUCUUCUUAGCCUUGACCGAUUCAUCAAUUAAAACAUCAUAGUGUAAAUUCCCUAUAGCUAACAUAGAAAUAACCUCGGUGGAAUCAAUAUUUAUCUCAAUAGGAAGGAGGUUCCUCUGUUCCACAACUUUUAGGCCUUCAAUAAGGGCUAGCAUCUCCGUAUGUUUGAUAAAAUCCAACUAUAUACUUCUAGAAUCAUAUCUGAUAACUUCACCUAUGCCCCCUUUCCCAGGAUUUCCUGGACAAGAACCAUCCAUAUUAAGUUUGAAACCUUCAUUGGAGGGUUUCAUCUAACAUUGAUUUUUUCAUAAGACGGUGCAGGAUUGAUAUCUUUGAUAGUGUGUUUAUAUUCUAUAGCUUCAGCAUAGGCUUGAUUUGGAUUAGACUUAUUUUUGCUGUUGUUGAAGGUGGGUUCCUGGUUUUUCAGAUUGGUCAGAGACAGAAAGGGAUUAUUUCAAGCCACUUAAGAAGGUGAAAAUUAAAAAGGGAAGAUGGGAAAGUCAUUCAAUUCAACAAGAGGUCAAAUAUGAAGGAAAAGAAUCAUCUGCUUUGCAGAGCUUUGCAUCCGCUUUGCAUCUGCUUUGGAGCUGCUAUCUAUCUGCUCUACAUCCGCUUUGGAAUUGCUCAAGCAGAUCAAGAGCAAGGUGACAUUUUUGUAAUUUUCAAUAAAUGUAGAGUUGGAUCUUAAAAGAGGGUUUUAGCUCAUUUUUCAAGACCUAGCUUCUUUUUUCCAUCCUAGCUUAUCUCUUUUUCAUAUUGUCACCCAUCUUUUCAUCCUAGAAGAACAUUGUACUAGUCUUGAGUAAAAAAGUAUAUGUGAGUAAGGAAGAAUUAGCGAUUUUCCAUAGAAGAUUAAUUUCCAAGUUUGGAUGAAGUCUCUUUAUUUCUCAUGGAUGAAGUCAAUGAUAACUUUGGUAUAUUUCUACCCUUUU